rnacentral:tmRNA from 1 species
GCUCUUGCCGCCUGCCUUCCGCGCUCCUAUAUAAGGCGUGCCGGAGGGGUUCGCCCCUUGGCUAUGGCGAUAAACGGUAAGUGGAAUAAUCGUUACGGACCCGGGGGCAGUGCCCGGCGUCUCCACCAAAAUCCUCUCCCACUCGGAGAGCAUGGGGACGAAACAGGCUCGACGUGCGUGGUAAAGACUUAUCUUUUGCUCGGCAUUGUACCGCCGUUAUCGGGCUAAAUUACAAGUGCCAAUGACAACUCAAAGGUGCUCGCUGUCGCUGCAUAAGCGAUAAGCGCGGUUCGGGAGGGCACCGGGCAACAGAAGCCCUCCCACU